rnacentral:rRNA from 1 species
GAUGAACGCUGGCGGCAGGCCUAACACAUGCAAGUCGAACGGUAACAGGAAACAGCUUGCUGUUUCGCUGACGAGUGGCGGACGGGUGAGUAAUGUCUGGGAAACUGCCUGAUGGAGGGGGAUAACUACUGGAAACGGUAGCUAAUACCGCAUAACGUCGCAAGACCAAAGAGGGGGACCUUCGGGCCUCUUGCCAUCGGAUGUGCCCAGAUGGGAUUAGCUAGUAGGUGGGGUAACGGCUCACCUAGGAGACGAUCCCUAGCUGGUCUGAGAGGAUGACCAGCCACACUGGAACUGAGACACGGUCCAGACUCCUACGGGAGGCAGCAGUGGGGAAUAUUGCACAAUGGGCGCAAGCCUGAUGCAGCCAUGCCGCGUGUAUGAAGAAGGCCUUCGGGUUGUAAAGUACUUUCAGCGGGGAGGAAGGGAGUAAAGUUAAUACCUUUGCUCAUUGACGUUACCCGCAGAAGAAGCACCGGCUAACUCCGUGCCAGCCGCCGCCGUAA